UUGAAUCAAUCCUGCCUCCUUUUGACUGAGUUGUUUUAAUGAGUCAUCAGCAGGGACUGCUUUUAGCCGGCUUUAGUUCAGUUUCUUUUUCACAGAUUCCUUGUUGUUUUGAUCUUGAAAUCGCCAAACCCUUAAGUUUGCUAAAUUAAGCCUGAAAAGGUUCAACAAACCAGUCCUGAGAGAAUUAGGGAGUGGAUGGCUGGGAUCUUACGUCCCAUUGAAGCCACGUUGGGUUCACCCGCUGAUUUUGGUGCCAAGGGAAAACUCCAAGUUAACACGGAUCAAAAUAGGAAACAGUUCCCUCAUCAAAGUCAGCUUUCCAAACCUCUGUUCAGGAUCCAAAAGAAAUGGGAAUGCCCUUGGCAAAAAAGGUGCUUUUGAGACAAAGCAAGCUUAAAAUGCCUGUAAGCAGGAAAUCCAGGAGAAAUGGCUGCUGGCAUCCUGGGCUUGCCAGGCAGGUUUUGUACUUGAUUGCAAGGCAGUUUUCCUGCCUCUGCACGGGGUGGUACCUGCAUCCCACUGGAAAGAGGAGAGAAAUAAUUCCCCUCCUUCCCUGGCCCAGCCCUGGAGUGGGAGCAGCUUGCCCUUAUCCUGGAGUUAUCCUGCUCCUGCCCAGCAUCCCUCUGGUACCCUCAUGUGCUUCCCGAGCUCCCAGCACCGAUGGAUCUAAACAAGGAGAACAAUCCCUGUUCCUUCUCUUCUCCAUCCUCGAUGUUCCUGGGCCCUGCAUCUCCCUGGCUAUUCCCUGUCUGACUCCUCAUCUCCAUCCCACCUUCUCCUGGUUGCAUCUGAGCCUGAGAUGUGUUUAGCAGCAAAUCCAUUCCUUUAAAGGAAGCCCAGUGCAAAGAGCAUCCAGCUGCAGGACAGGGAGAACCACUGAACUUGUCCUGGCCUUGCCAAGAGCUUUGGUGUUUGAGCUGCCAAACCCAAACUGGUCCUGAUGGUGGAGGACUUAAGAAAUUACUCAAUCCAACUAAAUAUUUUAAAAAGGGAGAUGGUUUGGUUAUAAAAAUAUUUCUGCCUGAGACUAGGAAGAGUUAAACCCCCCACUUCUGAGCAACAGCACAAGGAUUUUUUAAUUCUUUGCCUUUUUUUCCCUUCCUUUGAAUGGGUUUGUUUGUUUCCCCUUGGAGACUGCACACACAAUAGGCAGAUUUUUCAAGUAAGCCAUUUUUUCCCGCUUUUAGUCUUUACUGGAGCCCAGGUGCCAAUUGUUUGCUGCUUGGUUUCUGCCUUCCCUUUCCUGCCUACAACGUAACCCCUUUCUCUCCUUCCUGCUUUUUGGCCAUCACUGGUCAUGCAGAUGAUGCUGAUGCAGAUGGCUGAUAAAUAAUUAUCAAACAGCUUGGGAAUGGUCUGUAUCAGUAACAUUAAAAAAUGCAGUAUACAGACCAUCAACCAAUGAAUUUAGCAACAGUUGGAUAGUAAUUAAUCAUCUUUCCUUUGAAGCCCUCUUCAUAGCAUAUUUACUUUUAAAGGGAAAGCAUUUGGUUUUUAUUUUAAAAAAUACUACAAAUCACCAACAGCCAGCUUAAGUGAGCAUGGAAGACUGACAAAGACAUUGUAAUGUUUUUUCUUUUAAAUCCCUCACAACCCUAUCAUGUACUGGGGAGGCAGCAGCUCAGCGAGUUUCAGCCCAGAGCUGCCAUCCUGUGCUCAUGGAGAGCAACUUCUCCAGCUGUCCCAGCCUCAGGAAAGCACAGAAGAGGGCUUUACACAGAUCGGGGAUUAAGCUAGACCCAGGUUGGGCUCAGCUCAGUCACCAUGGCACUGUUAGAAGCCUUAAACCCUUUUUCUAUCAGAUUGAUUGUGGCUGUGGUGCAGCCACUGUGUUGCUGUCAAUGUGCUCCCCUGCAGCCUAGCCUGACAUGGUGAGCAGGGGCUUGGGGUUCUGCCUCAUGUGUUAAACAUCAAACCAGAAAAUAAAACAACAGAUAAAACCCCUACCCUGAGAUGUGCCUCACUCUGCACCACUGCUAUGAGAGGAGGGUGAAAGACCCAGUCAAUUUUAGCUCUGUAAAGAAGCUACAGAGCAGUGAUGAGCGCCUGAAUCACAUCCCCUGCAGCCAUCAGGGGAGUGAGGGCAGGGAAAAGGGCAGAGAAAGGGAAAU